AUGUGAUCGUCUCUCGCAUAUCAAUAAGCGGAGGAAAAGAAACUAACAAGGAUUCCCCUAGUAACGGCGAGUGAAGCGGGAAGAGCUCAAAUUUGAAAUCUUAAAGGGUUUCCCUUUACGAAUUGUAGUUUAAAGAAGUGUUUUCUGUUGAGGUUUUGGUAAAAGUUCUUUGGAAUAGGACAUCAUAGAGGGUGAGAAUCCCGUAUUUGACCUUUACUUUCAACUUUGUGAUACACUUUCAAAGAGUCGGAUUGUUUGGGAAUGCAGUCCAAAAUGGGUGGUAAAUUUCAUCUAAAGCUAAAUAUUGGCGAGAGACCGAUAGCGAACAAGUACCGUGAGGGAAAGAUGAAAAGAACUUUGAAAAGAGAGUUAAACAGUACGUGAAAUUGUCAAAAGGGAAGCGUUUGACACCAGUGUUGUUUUUCUGAAAAUCAAUUAAAGAACUGUUUAUGCUAAGCUGUUUAGACUUUAUCAGCUAUCUGUUUAGUUUUGAGCUUUUCUUUAAUGCACUUUUCAGUUAACAAGUCAACAUCAAUUUCUUUUGCUGUAAAAAAGCUUGAGGAAGGUGGCUUGAGAUUCGUCUUAAGUGUUUAUAGCCUCUUGCCUAUGCAGUCGGAGAGAUUGAGGUCUGCAGCGUAGAUCCUUCGGGGCUAAAUGCAUUUGUGCUAAGUUAUAGCAUUUUACAGACAACUUGUUGACUAUGAUUUGUCUCGUAGCUUACUCGCUUAUGUUAUUUUACCUACGCUUAGGAUGUUGAUAUGCAUGACUGAUAU
rnacentral:rRNA from 1 species